UACGGGAGGCAGCAGUGGGGAAUAUUGCACAAUGGGCGCAAGCCUGAUGCAGCCAUGCCGCGUGUAUGAAGAAGGCCUUCGGGUUGUAAAGUUCUUUCAGCGGGGAGGAAGGCAGUGAGGUUAAUAACCUUACUGAUUGACGUUACCCGCAGAAGAAGCCCCGGCUAACUCCGUGCCAGCAGCCGCGGUAAUACGGAGGGUGCAAGCGUUAAUCGGAAUUACUGGGCGUAAAGCGCCCGCAGGCGGUCUGUUAAGUCAGAUGUGAAAUCCCCGGGCUUAACCUGGGAACUGCAUUUGAAACUGGCAGGCUUGAGUUUCGUAGAGGGGGGUAGAAUUCCCGGUGUAGCGGUGAAAUGAGUAGAGAUUUGGAGGAAUACCGGUGGCGAAGGCGGCCCCCUGGCCGAAGACUAACGCUCAGGUGGGAAAGCGGGGGGAACAAACAGGUUUAAAUACCCGGGUAGUCC
rnacentral:rRNA from 1 species